rnacentral:rRNA from 1 species
CUCCUACGGGAGGCAGCAGUGAGGAAUAUUGGUCAAUGGGCGCGAGCCUGAACCAGCCAAGUAGCGUGAAGGAUGAAGGUCCUACGGAUUGUAAACUUCUUUUAUAAGGGAAUAAAGUCGCCUACGUGUAGGCGUUUGUAUGUACCUUAUGAAUAAGCAUCGGCUAACUCCGUGCCAGCAGCCGCGGUAAUACGGAGGAUGCGAGCGUUAUCCGGAUUUAUUGGGUUUAAAGGGAGCGUAGACGGAGGAUUAAGUCAGUUGUGAAAGUUUGCGGCUCAACCGUAAAAUUGCAGUUGAUACUGGUCCCCUUGAGUGCAGUUGAGGCAGGCGGAAUUCGUGGUGUAGCGGUGAAAUGCUUAGAUAUCACGAAGAACCCCGAUUGCGAAGGCAGCCUGCUAAGCUGUAACUGACGUUGAUGCUCGAAAGUGUGGGUAUCAAACAGGAUUAGAUACCCUGGUAGUCCACACGGUAAACGAUGGAUACUCGCUGUUGGCGAUAUACUGUCAGCGGCCAAGCGAAAGCAUUAAGUAUCCCACCUGGGGAGUACGCCGGCAACGGUGAAACUCAAAGGAAUUGACGGGGGCCCGCACAAGCGGAGGAACAUGUGGUUUAAUUCGAUGAUACGCGAGGAACCUUACCCGGGCUUAAAUUGCAGACGAAUUACCUGGAAACAGGUAAGCCGCAAGGCGUCUGUGAAGGUGCUGCAUGGUUGUCGUCAGCUCGUGCCGUGAGGUGUCGGCUUAAGUGCCAUAACGAGCGCAACCCUCGUGGUCAGUUACUAACAGGUCAAGCUGAGGACUCUGGCCAGACUGCCAUCGUAAGAUGCGAGGAAGGUGGGGAUGACGUCAAAUCAGCACGGCCCUUACGUCCGGGGCUACACACGUGUUACAAUGGGAGGUACAGAAGGCAGCUACCCGGCGACGGGAUGCCAAUCUCCAAAACCUCUCUCAGUUCGGACUGGAGUCUGCAACCCGACUCCACGAAGCUGGAUUCGCUAGUAAUCGCGCAUCAGCCAUGGCGCGGUGAAUACGUUCCCGGGCCUUGUACACACCGCA